rnacentral:rRNA from 1 species
AGGGAGCUUGCUCCCAAAGAUUAGCGGCGGACGGGUGAGUAACACGUGGGUAACCUGCCUGUAAGAUUGGGAUAACUCCGGGAAACCGGAGCUAAUACCGGAUAACAUUUUGAACCGCAGGUUCAAAAUUGAAAGAUGGUUUCGGCUAUCACUUACAGAUGGACCCGCGGCGCAAUAGCUAGUUGGUGAGGUAACGGCUCACCAAGGCAACGAUGCGUAGCCCACCUGAGAGGGUGAUCGGCCACACUGGGACUGAGACACGGCCCAGACUCCUACGGGAGGCAGCAGUAGGGAAUCUUCCGCAAUGGACGAAAGUCUGACGGAGCAACGCCCCGUGAACGAUGAAGGCCUUCGGGUCGUAAAGUUCUGUUGUUAGGGAAGAACAAGUACCAGAGUAACUGCUGGUACCUUGACGGUACCUAACCAGAAAGCCACGGCUAACUACGUGCCAGCAGCCGCGGUAAUACGUAGGUGGCAAGCGUUGUCCGGAAUUAUUGGGCGUAAAGCGCGCGCAGGCGGUUUCUUAAGUCUGAUGUGAAAGCCCACGGCUCAACCGUGGAGGGUCAUUGGAAACUGGGGAACUUGAGUGCAGAAGAGGAGAGUGGAAUUCCACGUGUAGCGGUGAAAUGCGUAGAGAUGUGGAGGAACACCAGUGGCGAAGGCGACUCUCUGGUCUGUAACUGACGCUGAGGCGCGAAAGCGUGGGGAGCGAACAGGAUUAGAUACCCUGGUAGUCCACGCCGUAAACGAUGAGUGCUAAGUGUUAGAGGGUUUCCGCCCUUUAGUGCUGCAGCAAACGCAUUAAGCACUCCGCCUGGGGAGUACGGUCGCAAGACUGAAACUCAAAGGAAUUGACGGGGGCCCGCACAAGCGGUGGAGCAUGUGGUUUAAUUC